rnacentral:rRNA from 1 species
UACAGAGGGUGCAAGCGUUGUUCGGAAUUAUUGGGCGUAAAGGGCGCGUAGGCGGUGCUGUAAGUCUGUGGUGAAAUCUCUGGGCUCAACUCAGAGUCUGCCAUAGAAACUGCAGUGCUGGAGUGUGGGAGAGGUGAGUGGAAUUCCCGGUGUAGCGGUAAAAUGCGUUGAUAUCAAGAAGAACACCAGUGGCGAAGGCGGUCUGCUGGGCCAGUACUGACGCUGAGGUACGAAAGCGUGGGUAGCGAACGGG